rnacentral:rRNA from 1 species
ACCCGCUGAACUUAAGCAUAUCAAUAAGCGGAGGAAAAGAAACCAACAGGGAUUGCCUUAGUAACGGCGAGUGAAGCGGCAACAGCUCAAAUUUGAAAUCUGGCCUCUUUGGGGUCCGAGUUGUAAUUUGCAGAGGGCGCUUUGGCGUUGGCAGCGGUCCAAGUUCCUUGGAACAGGACGUCACAGAGGGUGAGAAUCCCGUACGUGGUCGCUAGCCUUCGCCGUGUAAAGCCCCUUCGACGAGUCGAGUUGUUUGGGAAUGCAGCUCUAAAUGGGAGGUAAAUUUCUUCUAAAGCUAAAUACUGGCCAGAGACCGAUAGCGCACAAGUAGAGUGAUCGAAAGAUGAAAAGCACUUUGGAAAGAGAGUUAAAAAGCACGUGAAAUUGUUGAAAGGGAAGCGCUUGCAGCCAGACUUGCCUGUAGUUGCUCAUCCGGGUUUCUACCCGGUGCACUCUUCUAUAGGCAGGCCAGCAUCAGUUUGGGCGGUUGGAUAAAGGUCUCUGUCAUGUACCUCUCUUCGGGGAGAACUUAUAGGGGAGACGACAUGCAACCAGCCUGGACUGAGGUCCGCGCAUCUGCUAGGAUGCUGGCGUAAUGGCUGU